GAUGAUACAGCCUUUAGAGCGGAGGAUGUCGCCCUAACCUGGCAACUUGGAUUGAAAGAUCGAGUACCACUCUCUCCUCUUCUUUCCAUCUCCUCUAGUUCAGCCAACUGGACGGUCGCUUUUGUUUCACAACCCCAGGAGUAACAUGGAGUUCGGCCACAAGGUGUCGCUCCUGGAAAGGAAGUAGGUCGCCGAUCGAUCACCAGCCAAGUUCGGAGAGGAGAGAGAGGACAUGUAUCAAAUCCACGUUUCAAUCAGCAGGAAUAAAAAUUAAAAUAUUGAACCACGUUAGACAUUGGUAAGAAUUUCGGUCAUUAGUCUCAACCAAUAAAUAUUUUUUUACAUAAUGCUGAUUUUGAAAUGACUUUUGAAUGUAUAAUACACGUGCAUGUUAUAAACCUGUUUCACUUGAAUUUAA